ensembl:lncRNA LINC03000 long intergenic non-protein coding RNA 3000
CACAGAAUGAGGCUUCAGAUCAUUUUAAUCAAUUAUUCUUUAUUAAGGCAAUUUAAUAGGAGAAAAGACUAAAUGUUAUUUCUUGUGCUUCACAGAUGUAUUCCAGAUGAAUAUACAUUUAAAAAUAUACAAAGAAUAAACACAGACAAGUAGAAUACCUUUGAUUACACAGCUACAAAAAUCUGACCACCUUGAAAUACUGUGUCAGGGUUAGCAAACUUCCUCUGUAAGGCCAAAUAGUAAAAGUUUCAGGCUCUGUGAACUAUAUGAUCUCUGCCACAACUAUUGAACUCUGUCAUCAUAGCAUAAAAGUAGCCAGAGACAACACAUACACAAAUGAGCAUAGCUAUGACCCAAUGAAACAUUAUUUACUAAAACAGGUAGUGGGCCAGAUUUGCCAAUUAUUGUACUAUAAUGGAUACACUUUCUCUCACAAGAGAAUUCUACCAUAGGCAUUUGAAUACAGUACAUGAAAUUCAAAACCUCAGUUGUGAAUUCGCUAUUUACCAAUGACAAGGUUUAAGUUCUUCAGUGGCCAUGAACAUUAUCAAUUAAUGCAAAGAUCCUGGGCUUUCAAUCCAAAGAAGCUUACCUCUCUGCUCCAGAUGCUCAUCUUGCUGGCUGUGUGUCUCCAGCACAGAAUCUUCUGGAGAGGAAAGAAGAAACCAUGUCUAGACAAGGUGCUGGAAAGACCCAGGGAAGACACAGGUGAGCUAAGAAAGCAGUAGAAACUGGGUAAUUAAAAGUCAACAUAAUGGCUGGAAACUUGUUCAAGGAGAUAUAAAAAGAAAGAAAAACCAAAA